AAUGUAAUGAACUUAAAAUUCAUGUAUAAAGAAUAAUCUUUUUUUAGA
rnacentral:tRNA from 1 species